UACAGAGGUCUCAAGCGUUGUUCGGAUUCAUUGGGCGUAAAGGGCACGUAGGCGGCAUUGCAAGUCGGAUGUGAAAUCCCUCGGCUUAACCAAGGAAGUGCAUCCGAAACUGCAGUGCUUGAGUACUUAAGAGGAUCGCGGAAUUCCCGGUGUAGAGGUGAAAUUCGUAGAUAUCGGGAGGAACACCAGUGGCGAAGGCGGCGAUCUGGGAAGAUACUGACGCUGAGGUGCGAAAGCGUGGGGAGCAAACAGG
rnacentral:rRNA from 1 species